rnacentral:rRNA from 1 species
CCUACGGGCGGCAGCAGUGAGGAAUAUUGGUCAAUGGCCGGAAGGCUGAACCAGCCAUGCCGCGUGAAGGUCAGUGCCCUAUGGGCGUUAAACUUCUUUUGUGCGGGAGCAAUAAUGGUCACGUGUGGCCAGACGAGAGUACCGUACGAAUAAGCAUCGGCUAACUCCGUUCCAGCAGCCGCGGUAAUACGGGGGAUGCAAGCGGUAUCCGGAUUUAUUGGGUUUAAAGGGUGCGUAGGCUGGGAGGUAAGUCAGCGGUGAAAUGCCCCCGCUCAACGGGGUGAAGUGCCAUUGAUACUGCCUUGCUUGAAUGCGGAUGCCGUGGGAGGAAUGUGUGGUGUAGCGGUGAAAUGCAUAGAUAUCACACAGAACACCGAUUGCGAAGGCAUCUCACGAAUCCGCGAUUGACGCUGAUGCACGAAGGCGUGGGUAUCAAACAGGAUUAGAUACCCUAGUAGUC